CGGUGAUAGGAAUUGUCCAGCUCCCUCUUUAUCUCAUGGGACUCUCAUCAUGUGUGACCUGCCAUUGACCAUAACAUCCUUAUGCAGCAUGUGACUAUUUUUUUUUCUGUGACUAAUUAAUAUAAGUGACUAUUAAAAUAAUCGCUACCAACCUAUAACGCUAACUAGGUAACUGGGAGGGUAAGAAAAAAGGAAGAAAAAAAAAACAAGAUAUCACAGAAUAAGCAAUUACCACCUCUUGGGAUGGGCUGGGUGAACAAAGAGAAGCAGUUAGAAUUAUUAAAGCCUUGAAACAGAGUUGCGGUCCCCUGGGACUGAAAUGGGAUCUCUAAGGAGGGGUGUCCAAUUACUAGUGAUGAGUGGAGAGUCCUCUGUAAGUGUUGGAAACUCUGGCAACUGGAAUCAGCUACUGCCACAGGCAGGAAGUGCCCCUGCUGGUGAAGAGUGUGGCCAGGGUGUUGCUUACUCAGAGGGGCCGCAAGCAGGAAGGUCACAGGUCCCUCCUUCCUACGCAGCUCUGCUAACUGGUAGCUUGUACAGUCUCAGCCCAUCACAAAGCCAGGCAGAGAAGCCUUGGUUUGGAGCUGAGAGGCAUUAAUUCAAGAACUGUCAUGGAAAAUAUACAAAGCCACACGUGACAUUUAGGAACUACCUGUGCACUUGAAUCUGUAUACUGGCUGACUUUCUCUUCUCUGAUGUCUGUCAAUUACAUCUUGCCUUCCUAAGCCCUUGACAUAUUGGAGUUUCCUUCUUAUUCCAGGGGCCAGUCCCUGGUUCCCUUUGUUACUUACCCUUCUCCAGAAAAUUCCUGAUGGGUCUCCUGGUUCAAAAGCAACUGAACAAGUGUCUAUCAAUGAAUAAUGGGUAAACAUCAGAUAGUUUAUACAUACAAUAAAAUGUUAUUCAGUCUUAAAAAGAAAGGAGAUUCUGACACACUCGACAACAUGGCUGAAUCUUGACAUUACGCUCAGUGAAAGAAGCCAGACACAAUAGGAAAGAUAUUUGGUGAUACCAUUUAUGUGGAGUUUAGAGACAGAAAAUUGAUUGGUGGUUGCUAGAGGUAGGAGAGAGGAGAAAGAGGAGUCACUGUUUAAGGAAUCCAGAGUUUCACUUUUGCAAAAUGAGAAAUGUCCUCUGGAUGGAUAGUGGUCAUAGUUGCACAAUAAUGGGAAUGUAAUAAAUGCCACUCAUCUGUACACUUGGAAAUAAAUGAUGGAUGGCCCAGGCAGUAUCUAUGAUGGCAUGAGUUCUUCAGCACAUUGCAAAUGUGAAUUUUACCCAGGCUGUAAGUCAUGAUGUCAGUCUUCAUGAGGCCAUAUUGCUGUAUCCCAACACCACGUAAGAAGAGUUCCAGUAGCAAGGACUUCACAGACACAACCACCAUUAUUGCAGUUGAGUUUUCAUUCCAAUCCUGAGCAAACCCUUCCAGGAACAGGAGUUCUUCCACCUGUUGACAACCAGAUGAGGAACCUAACAAGCUAAGGCUUUCUGUAAAACCUUGAAGAAAACAUAUUUGAUGAGAUAAACUUAUUGUCAUUGGCCACCAAGGAAAGUUUUGAUCCAAUGGAAAUUUUUCAGCUUUUUGAGGAACCAGACUUGGAUUCUGGCCUUUCAUUGAAUUCAAGUCAUCAUAGCACCUCUACUACCAAGUCCAAUUCUUCUCACUCUGUGUGAUGAAGACAGUGCUAGCAGUUAUAGUAGAGAUCGUGGUUAUCUUUUCCAUCAUGAUUAGAAGAGGCUGUAGGAGGCUACUACUCAGAACCCAUGAAACUUUG
rnacentral:lncRNA from 1 species